GAGGAAAAGAGGAAGAGAAAGAGGAAGAAGAGGAGGAGGAAGAUGAAGAAAACCAAGUAUCUAUGGCCUGGAUGAUAAAGAAAUGAGAGGUGAAAUUUCAACUGCAUAAAAAUACAAAUACUUAAGCUUAAUAUGGGUAAGCUAAGUGACACUGUAAGCUUAAAUUAUUACCAGGUAAAUAACAAUACCACUGAAGAUCAGGUGUGUCUUUUCUCUCUUGUUAUUCUUGUGUUCUGAGCCAGUCUUAUAGCUCAGGCUGACCAUUGCCAAACUACCUCCAUCUAUUGAAUGCUGGGACUGGGAUUAUUGGCAUGUGGAACACGCGGCUUCAUUCUCGGAGUUUGGGUUAUGAGUGAUCCACUUGGGUUUUUCCAGACUUCUACCAUUGCAAGUACAGACGCUGACCAAAAAAGAAAGAAAGAAAGAAAGAAAGAAAGAAAGAAAGAAAGAAAGAAAGAAAGAAAGAAAGAAAGAAAGAAAGAAAGAAAGGAAGAAAGAAAGAAAAGGUAGCUACCACAUUGGUCAUCAUCUCAUAACAUAAUUUUAGUACAAGAGGCAGGAAAGCUAAAAUCUGGGAGUAAAAGGCAGUCCUUUGAGUUGGAUGAAUGUGACUGUGUUAAUCGUACUCUGUUGACUCCUCAUGGCACUGUGCUGCCAGAGAUUUUAAGUUUCCUGCAGCUCUGUACUCAGAACCACUACCCAGAAGGCUUCACGGUCCCACUUUUGCUGCCGUUUCUAUGGGUGCAUCGUGGGAGCCCUAAGGGAGGAGCUCUAGGGCCUGGAGUCCUAGCCUGUCUUCUUUGAAGCUCAUUUGUCAGAACCACUACCCAGAAGGCUUCACGGUCCCACUUUUGCUGCCGUUUCUAUGGGUGCAUCGUGGGAGCCCUAAGGGAGGAGCUCUAGGGCCUGGAGUCCUAGCCUGUCUUCUUUGAAGCUCAUUUGUCAGCAUCAGAUGAGGAUAAUGACAGGAUUCCCACCACUUCACGGGAGUUCAAAGGAACUAAAUGAGCAGGUUUUGAAAACCAGUGUGAGGGGCGAGUACUGAUAAACGUUUAAUAAGCCUGUGAAGCAUUGAAUACAGGCAAUCAAAGGGGGAAACUGAGGCUCACAGAGGCUAAGGAUCCCCUUCUGUGACGCGCACAUUUUGGAUUUUAUGCUGGGGUGGAGGUAUGUGGACACAAAGCCAAACAUUCAGAUGAAGUUUGAACAGCCAUCCAGACAUUUCCAAAUAACUUCAGAGCUGGCACUGUACAGAAAACCAGUGACUGUCCUCAGCCUUUCUAAAGAUACCAAGAAGGAAACUUCCUACAUCCAAGGCCACAUUCAAGACCAAAGAAGCAAGAAGUUCAAAAAACCUCUCGCACUGUCAUCGACGUUGUUUGACAGAAAGAGAUACCUACUCUUUGUCAGAAGCAUUUAAAAAAAAUCUUGGGUGUUUGACACAGAGGCCCUGAAUUCUCUUUAAAACAAAAGGAAAGCACUAUUCCAGAAUACAAUCCGAUAAACUGUAAGUCAUAUCUGGAUUGUUUCCAAAGGUGGCAAAAAGGGACUCCAGACCCUCAUCUUAAAUAAUCCCAAAAGGCCCUGCACGCCCAGAGCCCCUCUCCAUCACAGGUGGGUAGCAACUCAGGCUCUGCUCACUGGAACCCAGUCAAGGAGACUGGAAUGCCAUGUCUUCAUUCAUAACGCUGUCCCGUGGAAUUAUUUUUUCCGGAUUCCUGGGGAAGUUAAAGAAUUUGAGGAGAAUAUCAGGAACUGUUGUUUCAGCUUGUUUUGUGAGCAGAUAAUUGCCUUCCAACUCCAUUACUUCAGGAAGUGAUGUGUGCAGCAUUGUUUCUGAUGGAGGAGGUGCUGCGUUUCGGCCAGACAUACCAAGCACAUUGAAACCAAGCCAGGAGCGAGGAGUAAGUAAGUCACCUCCUUGAACUCAGACUUCUGAGUCCACUUUGCAGAUAAGGCAGCCCCAGACAACCUGACCACAUGCCAACCUCGUUAUUUUGAAAGGGUGGAAGCACAACUUGUUUUCGGGAACGAGAAAUUUCACUAAAAUUACUAAAUGUGGUCAUCAAAACAUUUGGUAGAUGAAGUGCUAUCAAAAUGGCUUCAGCAGAAACUUACUUGGAAGGCCAAACUUCUCUCUCGUUUGGGUCUGAAUCAAAAGCCAGCCUGGGAAACUAGAAGCAAAACACGUUUUGUCCUGAGCAAUACCUUUGAUCCUAUGGAACAUAUUAGCCAAUCUUCCUGAAGUGUGACCUCAUUUGUGGCACCAGCUGUGUGGGUGUGCCAUCUAAGGAUUUAGAAAACUCGUCUUUCUUCAGCUUUAAUGUGUAUUUUAAGACUGCAGAAAGCAGUCUAAUCCAGCUAAGUGCUCCAAGGGGAACUGUUACAGACUUCAACUUAAGAAGCUUAAAGUUCUUAUGGCUGUGAUCUAUCAACCUUUCAAUAGUUAUUACAAAGUCAUUCCCAAAUGGGCACUGGGAACCCAUGAUUGUGAUGAUAAAAUUGUUAUGGAGCAAACAUAAA